rnacentral:lncRNA from 1 species
AACAUAUGAUCUGUGCUGCUGUUGGUGCAGGAGGACAGGAGGGAAAUAAGCUGGAAGCCAUGGAUGUGGAGAGUCUGGCUUCAAGAUGGAGCUUGUUUACCUGCAGGGCCCCAUGCAGAACCUCAUGAGACGUGACUUCAGAGGCCUCCUCUCUGAAGGUGAGGGAGGCGUCAGCUGUUCAGAGAGAGAGGCUGCCUUGCCUGGGGACACACAGCUAGCCAGUGGCCGGAGCAGCAGUGGAUGCAGUUGUCCUGAUGCAUAGUUCAAGAAGCUUUUUUUUUUUUUUUUUUUUUCACGUGUGAAAACAUCUAUUGGGAAAAUGGAAAAAUCAUUUGACCUCAUAUUCCUCAUAGCUGACAUGCCUGGCUCCUUUCUGUGGAGAAGAUCCUGAGAGGAACCACAACUUGACAAAACCAAAAUGUGGUGGUGAGCCAACUUCAAUUUUGCAGAAACUGACUUGGAAAGAACUGAUUACCUGAAGGACCGUGAGGAUCAAAGUUGUCCCACUGACCAGGCUGUAAACUUUGGAACUGAUAAGUGAGAGAGAUAAGGUAAACUUCUUUACCUUU